rnacentral:tRNA from 1 species
AAGAACUUAGGUUUACUUAAACCGAAGGCCUUCAAAGCCUUAAACAAGAGUUAAACCCUUUUAGUUUCUG